AGUCAUCCAAAUUUUAUACACAACUGUAACGUAGUUUCCUUUUGUUCCUUUUGUGAAUAGAUAGUGGUCAGCUUCUGACUUGGUGACGCCGAUAGGAUGGGAGCUUUGAGGUGGGCUCCUUAUUCAACUGGCGACCUGCUUAUUUUAGGCCAUACAAGUUUUUGGUUAGAUGGCAGACUUGUCUUGUACUAGCCUUGAAGUAGCCCUCUGGAGGUUUUAAAUAUAGUUUCUUUUCCACAAACCCAUGUAGAUAUGCAUUAUUGAUGUCUAACUGGUAUACUGGCUAGUCGCUUGCGGCUGCCAUGGCUAAAAGUAGUCGAACCGUGACCAUUUUGGCCACUAGUGAGAAGCUAUCAUGAUAGUUUAUGUCAAACUCCUUGUUGUAACUUUUAGCUACGAGUCUUGCUUUGUAUUUAUCAACUGAUCCAUCGGCAUUGUAUUUUAUUUUGUACACCCAUUUUGAGUCGAUUACUUUCUUCCUUUUUGGUAGUGCAGUUAGUUCCCAUGUUCUAUUUUCUUUUAAUGCGAACAGUUCGACUUACAUGGUCUCAACCCACUUGUUGUCCCCUUUAGCAUCCCUGUAUGAAAUUGGUUCUUUAGUAAUAGACACUUGUGCAAUAAAAUUAACAUAGCUAUGGUUGUAUGUAGGUGAGGUAGACAUGAAGAAGGGAAGCUCAUACAUGGGUUGUUCAGUGGUAUAGGCGACAAAGUCUUCCAUCCAGGCGGGCUUAUUUCUCACCCUGAUGCUCCUUCUUACUUCAGACUCUUGGGGAAUGAUGGUUGGUUGGUGUAAAAUGCAAUAAGCAUCCCCUCAAAUGAAUUACUAAUAUGUAUUUCCCUCUGUUUUUCAACACUAAAUACCAUGGAAUAAGCUCUAUUCACUCUAGCAUGGCAGGUGCAAGCAGGGAAGGGCCUUAGGUGUGUUAACUCAUCCCACAGCCUUUUGAGUUUUGUAUAAUAGGCUGUGACAUAAAGGAAGGCGCUAACAAGCUCUUUGUUCAUCGAGUUCAGAAUCUAAGACACCACCAUGUUGUCUGUUUUGUGCCAUUGUUCAUAUUCUGCUGCAUCGGGUUCGGGUUUUUUGCAUCUAUCGUCGACGAGGGCGAGCUUAUCCUUAGCUCUCAAUGCGAUCACCAUGGCUCGGCUCCAUGACAAGUAGUUGGAUCCAUCAAGUGUGGUUGUGAUGAGUUGCAUUCCAGGCUGGUUUGAGCUUAGGAGUGUCAACACAUCUGUAUUAGGGUUUGCCAUUAAACAGUAGGGUAAUAUUGUAAUGUAGAAAUCAGGAGAAUCAGUGCUUAUUACAAGCACUGCUCUGAUACCAUGUAAAGAAACUUAACCGAGUAGAGUAGAGAACAUUUAAUGCUCA